rnacentral:misc_RNA from 1 species
GAUGAAGAACGUAGCAAAAUGCGAUAAGUAAUGUGAAUUGCAGAAUUCAGUGAAUCAUCGAAUCUUUGAACGCACCUUGCGCCCUUUGGCCAUUCCGAAGGGCAUGCCUGUUUGAGUAUCAUGAACACCUCAACUCUUCAUGGUUUUCCGUGAUGAGCUUGGACUUUGGGGGUCUUGCUGGCCUAUGGUCAGCUCCUCUAAAAUAAAUCAGCUUGCCAGUGUUUGGUGGGUAUCACAGGUGUGAUAACUAUCUACGCUUGUGGUUUUCCACCAGGUAACCUUCAGCAGUGGAGGUUCGCUGGAGCUCACAGAUGUGUCUCUCCUCAGUGAGGACAGCUCUUUGAAUGUUUGAUCUCAAAUCAGGUAGGACUACCCGCUGAACUUAAGCAUAUCAAUAAGCGGAGGA